UAGGGUACUGCUUACCCUAAGCAAUAUCUUUAGCAAUUUUCGGCCUCUCUAUAUACUCUAUGCUUAAGGUUAAGCAAACCCUCAAUAAAUCUGGGCAGGUUUGAAAUAAAAUGAGUUUUUCUGCUCAUGCUUAACUUUCAGAUUGACCUGUGUUGCACCUUAAGCACUAGUGCUUACCCUAAGCAGGAUCUCAAGCUAUUCUCAGUAGGUUUUGGGAUGAAAGCUUGAAUGUGUAGGAUUUAAGCUGUGCUUGACUUGCGGCUUAAGGUUAAGCAAUAUGACAUAUCCUGAGCAGCAUCAUAAGCAAAGUCUCAAGUAAAUUUCGGCUAACUUGAACUUUCAAGGCUUGAUUUCUUCAAUUUUCUUCCAUGCUUAGGGAACUAUAAAUUUCUUCAAACAACUUCCUAAUGCACUCAUUGACCCUUAAUUUGCCACAAAAACCUAACUCCACUAGGAUGCGCUU
rnacentral:misc_RNA from 1 species